rnacentral:rRNA from 1 species
UACAGAGGGUGCAAGCGUUGUUCGGAAUUAUUGGGCGUAAAGGGAGUGUAGGCGGUUUGAUAAGUCUUCUGUGAAGUCUACGGGCUUAGCCUGUAACGUGCAGAGGAAACUGUCAGACUUGAGUAUUGGAGAGGGCAGGGGAAUACCCAGUGUAGAGGUGAAAUUCGUAGAUAUUAGGAAGAACACCAGUGGCGAAGGCGGCUCACUGGUCCGGUACUGACGCUGAGGUGCGAAAGCGUGGGGAGCAAACAGG